ACAGUAUUGCAAUAUUUGGCUUUAUCAACCCUGCAGCAGCUGUGUGUCUGAUCAUUCUUUACAUGAGAAUAUUCUUUUCGUUUUACAUGACAUCAAGAGAUGCAGAAAAUCGAACGUAUGACCAUCGCGUUAUGGCAAAAAGAUUUGCUGCAAUUGUUUUCACAGAUGUCUGCUGCUGGAUUCCCGUUUCAACACUUUUUUAUAUAGAUAUCAAUAAAAAUCAUCUUGUUAACAAAUUAUUUAUGAUUUUUGCUGUGCCCAUUAACUCGGCCAUCAAUCCGUUCCUCUAUACAUUAAGUGCUCCCACGUUUUGGAAUGUAGUGAAGAAAUUCUUUCUCAGAAUUUUCAAUAAAUGGAAGCAAUAAUGGUUGUGACAAAAGGCUGUGGAUUUAUGAAUAUACUUAAUUAUUAAGUUGUUUUCGUCAAUGGAAAUUCUUAUCAUGAAUUAAGCACAUUUCACUCCUCUAUUUUAAAGUAGAUCAGCUCGAUUUGACUGAUCUAACACUACAUAAUAAUCACAGUUAGUAAACUGCUAAAGUUUCAUAUAAUGUUGCACUUGUAGCUAAAUUAACAAUUAAAAUUGUAGAUGGAAUUUUGAACAACUGUAACUGUAUUGAUAUUGCUAUAGCCAUGGAUAAAUAAACUCAUGUGUGUAUUUCACAAUAUGAUCACAAGA